rnacentral:rRNA from 1 species
UACGUGAGGGGGCAAGCGUUGUUCGGAAUUACUGGGCGUAAAGGGCGCGUAGGCGGCCCGCGCAAGCGUGCGGUGAAAGCCCGGGGCUCAACCCCGGGUCGGCCGUGCGGACUGCGGGGCUCGAGCACUGUAGGGGCAGAUGGAAUUCCGGGUGUAGCGGUGGAAUGCGUAGAGAUCCGGAAGAACACCGGUGGCGAAGGCGGUCUGCUGGGCAGUAGCUGACGCUGAGGCGCGACAGCGUGGGGAGCAAACAGG